UCUCUGAUAGUCUAUUGGUUAGUACACGCGCCUGUCAUGUCGGAUCCUGAUGAAUACGCGCGAAGGCUGGGUUCGACUCCCAGUCAGAGAG